rnacentral:rRNA from 1 species
CGCUGGCGGCAUGCUUUACACAUGCAAGUCGAACGGUAACAGGGAGCUUGCUCCGCUGACGAGUGGCGAACGGGUGAGUAAUAUAUCGGAACGUACCCAAGAGUGGGGGAUAACGUAGCGAAAGUUACGCUAAUACCGCAUACGAUCCAAGGAUGAAAGCAGGGGACCGCAAGGCCUUGUGCUCCUGGAGCGGCCGAUAUCUGAUUAGCUAGUUGGUAGGGUAAAGGCCUACCAAGGCAUCGAUCAGUAGCUGGUCUGAGAGGACGACCAGCCACACUGGAACUGAGACACGGUCCAGACUCCUACGGGAGGCAGCAGUGGGGAAUUUUGGACAAUGGGCGCAAGCCUGAUCCAGCAAUGCCGCGUGAGUGAAGAAGGCCUUCGGGUUGUAAAGCUCUUUUGUCAGGGAAGAAACGGGUGCGGCUAAUAUCUGCAUCUAAUGACGGUACCUGAAGAAUAAGCACCGGCU